rnacentral:rRNA from 1 species
GACGUAGGGCGCGAGCGUUGUCCGGAUUUAUUGGGCGUAAAGAGCUCGUAGGCGGCUCAUUGCGUCAACCGAGAAAACCAGCAGCUCAACUGUUGGCUUGCGGUUGAUACGGGUGGGCUGGAGUUCGGUAGGGGAGACUGGAAUUCCUGGUGUAGCGGUGAAAUGCGCAGAUAUCAGGAGGAACACCGGGGGCGAAGGCGGGGCUCUGGGCCGAUACUGACGCUGAGGAGCGAAAGCGUGGGGAGCGAACAGG